AGGGAAAGUUGCAAAGAACUUUGAAGAGAGAGUUCAAGAGUGCGUGAAACCACUGGAGUGGAAACGGAUAGAGUCGAUGGAACUCUCAACAUUCAGCUGUGCUUCACGGCACAGUGCACUUGUUGAGCGUAUGCGCCGAGUCGGUUGGUGAUGCGCGCUGAACCUGAUGAUGUUGCCCUCUUGUAGGUGUCUUGUCGUCGGGGUGGGCGUGUCGUUGCUAAUCGUAUUCGGUGUGCAAGUCGAUCACCUAUCCGACCCGUCUUGAAACACGGACCAAGGAGUCUGGCGAAUGCGCGAGUCAUUGGGUGGAAAACCUAGAGGCGCAAUGAAAGUAAAGGUCGGCUUCGGAUCGGCUGAUAUGGGAUGCGUGACCGUGUGUCGCGUCGCACCAUAGCCCCAUCUCGAUGGCUUGCCAUGGGGUGGAGGUAGAGCGUAUUCGCCAGGACCCGAAAGAUGGUGAACUAUACUUGAGCAGGGCGAAGCCGGAGGAAACUCCGGUGGAGGUCCGUAACGAUUCUGACGUGCAAAUCGAUCGUCUGACGGCGUAUA
rnacentral:rRNA from 1 species